AUGAAGGAGAGGGAUCACGGAUCACAUAGAUCGAUAGGGAAACGGCGGAUUGCUCCUCCAGGAAAAGUGGUGAAGUUGAGAUCUCUUAAAGUGUCAGGAACCGAAGUUCAAUUCAUAAUAUAGCUGUUAUGUCUACACACAGCUCAACAGUUAACCUCGAUGAGGAGGGCUGUUUGAAAGAGCAAAGCUAGUAGGCUAUAGUUCAUGUAGAAUGCAACGGAUAGACCUACUGUACAGGGGCCACAGAAUUCAAUGAACCGGAAACCUACCUAAUCCAGCACUGGUAACUACAAGGGAUGUUCCUAAUUAUGUCAUUAAAACAACGGGUUACAUAUAACCUGAUGGACAACAUGUCACCCUGUCACCUACAGUAUAACCUGAUGGACAACAUGUCACCCUGUCACCUACAGUAUAACCUGAUGGACAACAUGUGGGGAAACAAUAAUCCACCGUCAUGAGAAGGUCACUCUUUAAUCUAGGCCCCACAGGGACAAACCACUGCUGGGAGGAAGAAGGAUUUACAGCAUUUCCUGAACGAAUGGUUCCUGUAGCACAUUCCUGCCCUGCUUUACACGCACGCACACACACACAAACACACACACACACACACACACACAUCCCAUUCCUGCCCUGCUUUGCAAAUCAUCCACAUAACUGAGGCUAAGGAAUAAAAGCUGUGUCACUGUGCUGAGGCUGAGGCUUUGCUUCUCGUGUUACUGCCUGUUUGAUAUGUGGAACAAAAAAGGGGUUGACAGGCCAGUGCCUUUCAUCUGACUGCAAAGCAACUCUGCAGCUAACCGGAAGGGGGUGAUAUAAUGCUGUUUAAACUGACUUCUGAUCCCAGCCCCCAACACACACACACACACACACACACACACACACACACACACACACACACACACACACACACACACACACACACACACACACACACACACACACUCUUACAAAAGCAGGCGCGCACACACAUGCAUGUACGCACGCACGUAUGCACACACACACUUGUACAACUUCAAGCAUCAUACGCACACUCGCACAAGUAUACACACACACAUUCUCUCUCUCUUUCGCGCUCUCUCUCUCACACUCUCUCAGAGAGAUCUGCAUUAAAAAGACAUAAGGUAGAAAAUACACUCACGUUCUGCCUCUCUCCAUGCAUGCUUAAGGAGAUGUUAGAUAUCUUCAAUUAUGUAUCAUCAGCCAGAGACGAUUAGUAUCAAAAUCUGCCUUCUGGCUGAUGUAAUGAGCCAGCUAUAGUCUAUCAUUUCUUUGUGAAGAAAAUGAAGAUACAGUGUAUAAUAUCCAAACUACUCUACCUGUAUAUUACUGUAUGUCAUUUCUAUGUUUAUAUGUUUGUAUAUAACUAUCUAUGAUAUAAUUGACAGUUGUUUUGUUGCGUUGCUGCGAUUGUUUGUACUUUUGGGUUGCUGCGUGCUAUAAUUGACAUGUGAAUGCUGAGGAAAUGGAAAGAUGAAUUCCUCUGUUUUUCCCUAAGCAAAGCAAGUGCUCUCAUCCAAAAGUGAAAUUCCUGUGACUUCAGCAAACCAUUCAUUAAGGUUUCCGUCCACAAGAUGGGCAAUGGCCUGUUUGGUAGUGGAGCCCCACUGCCUCGUACUACUCUCACAACCUCAGGAAUGUUGCAUUUGCUCAAAAAACUGUUAUGUUGAAAAACACUUUAAAUGCAAAGAGAUUUUAUUGGGUGACUGGGUUGACUGGGGUUACAUUACCCUUCUUCCUGAGUGGAACAGCACUAUAAGGAAUAGAAGUAGGGAUAUACUGAUUACUUAUAGGCCUCAGCAUAGAUAAUAUAGGGAUGAAGACAUACAGUAAAAUGACAAACGGGGCUGUAUAUUUAAGGGUGACGUAAUACAGCUAUGGCAAAGGAAUGCCUUUCUUUGUUACAUAAUACAGUAAAUGUACUUAGCAGACAUCCUUUAGGGGGAUGCAUCUAUUCACAUUCGAUAAACAUCUGUGAUAUAGACAUAUUCUAUGACCCAAAUAGCACCCUAUUCACUAUACCAGGGUUUCCCUUAGUCCUGGGGCCUCCUAGCACUACACAGCUGAUUCAAAUAAUCAAAGCUUGAUGAUGAGUUGGUUCUUUGAAUCAGGUGUGGGAAGCCCUGCCUGUAGGCCUAGCGCACUAUGUAGGGGUAGGGUGCCAUUUGGGACACACAGAGAAUCAUUCUUCGAGGGUGAAGUCGACAACAGAGAUAACUGUUCUCUUGACGCUAUGAGAACCUUGCCACAAUUUUGUGUUAUUACAAUGUUAAUGCAAUAUCAGAACAACAUCUCAAUCCUUUUCUCUCCUUUCUCAUCGACUGUCGACCUCUCUCUCCUCUCCUCUCCUCUCCUCCUUUCUCCUCUCCUCUCCUCCUUCAGUGCAGAUUAUGUGGAAAGGAGAGAAGAGGAAAGACAAAUACCUUAUAUAGCCUACUACUAGAGAUGUGGUAACCUCCUCGCAAGGCACACACAGAGUCCUGUUCUGAUAUUGAAUUAAGCCUUUUUUAAAUAUGUAGGAAAGUUAAUAGUACUGAACUACAACCCGAAUUUAUGAGUAAAACCCUCUGCUAUAUGCCACUCCUAUUGGUCGGCAUCUUUUGUUCACGCCUCCUAGCCCAUAGUCAUCCCCUACAACAUUGGUGGGAGCACCUGUCACUCAAGGUGCAUAAGCGGUGGGAGUCGUCAGUGUUCUUUGACGUUGGAGUUUGAUUGGCCAGCUGUUGCUAUUGGCGUCACUGCGCUGCCAGCUGAUCGCAGUGAGAAGCCGGUUUGAAGGGAGUUGGACUAGAGAGAACCAAGACGCAGCGAUAGAGGGACUGGUUGGUUGGGGAACUGCUGGGAAACUGGAAAGUGAAACUGGGGCGGUAUCUUCGUUUUUACCGGUUAAGUUAUGAUGUAUCGCACACAAAUAUAUACAAGGGUGAUAGUUGAAUAGUUGUAAGUGUAUUUUAAACUUGAACUAUUAUAGAUGUGUUUCGUCCAGGACUAGAACUGUCAAAAUUGAUUGAGAGAGUUAAGGUGUGGCUGCCUUUAAAACGGGUUUUCUUCUUCAAGACUUGCAUCUGACCUAAAUGCUUAUGAUAAUAAAGCUUAAUCAUAGCUAUAUACAGGGAGAAGUAGCCUAGCUGAUCGAUUUUCAAUAUUAAUGGCGCAUUUGACAGAGGAAGCAUUCGGUUAUACAACUAAUAGUGCCGUCUCGACAAGGCUAAUAAGCAUUAUUCUAAAUAUGACCGAUGGAAUCUAUUCUGCUAUUAUUUGGAUGAUCAUAACAAGUAUUUAAUAAUUCAAUGUAUAAUGCUUUGAAAUGGACUUAGCAACUUUACAAUCAUAUUGUAGCCCACAGAUGAGUGGCAAGUCAACGGAGCUGUGGGGCAGUAGGCCUAGUCCGUGAUAUAGAGGAAUUCGACUAUUGAUAAAACAUCUGAUUUAUUUAUUUAUUUUUAAUCGUUUUCUUUAUGAUGGAGCUGCUUGUAACUAGGUUACUGACAUGUUGAGUCACACCGAGGAAAGAAGUUAGUCUAACCUACAGAAAAAAGUAAGUGCGUCUAUAUUAAUUGAAAAACUUUAAAAUGUCUUUAUGAGUGUGGAAUAACCUUAACUGAAUAGAUUGAAGUAAUCUACAUAGUCUGCAACUAAAAUAUAAAAUAGAGGGUGAAAUGACCUAUUGUGACUAUUGUCAUAACCGUUACAAAUAUUGCAAAUUGAAUGUUCCAAAUGAUGUAAUCAAAUAGUUAACUUGCAGUGCCAUUCGGACUAUUUGUACUCUGGUCUGUAGGCGGUGCCUUCACUGCCAUAUUACCUAAUUCAACACAGCAGUGUAUUGACUAUAAGAUGUAAGAGUUUUUUCAAAGGCCAUCUCAUAUAGACUAAACGUUAAAUGUAUUGGUUUAUGGACACUUCUAUUGUGCGCAUUCGUGGCAUAUAGAGACAACGGGCGUGCCCAUCAAUUAGUCUACUUGUAAGAAAAAUAAUGGGGCCAAAGAGCCCAGAAUAAGAUUCGGUCAUAUUUAAAACUUAAACAAAAUGUAAAAGAUCAAGCUCAUUGCUGUACUGUAAAACCGUUUUAAAAUACCUAUUCAUAGAUCAUAGGUUUGAACUAUACAUGUUUAUAAUUUAGUAGUAUGCUACUAGCCUAAAGAAUAAUGCGUAAUGAACUUACUCAUUAUCUUCUCGUUAUUUAGUUCGAGUAACUCACUGUAAUUCCCUUUAGUUCGACUUAAAGGAGAGGAUUGCGAAGCAAAUUUCUUUAAGGCCCCACCCUUUACAGAGAUACAUGGAUGUGGACGACAGUUUUCCCCGUAAAUUUCUUCCUUUCCCUCCUCUCCGCAUCUCUCAUUUUACGUUGAUAAAUCCUGCUUUAAAUGGAGAGAACCUGUAACCUUCCCUAUGAACUGGCUGGCAACACCCUAAAAAUCAGACAGCAGGAUCUUCAUUCAAGCUCCCAUGACAUCUCCUUUCUUUGAUCAAGAUUCCACUGCCCACCCUGAUGGCCAAAGAGACAGAAGAUGUAGCCUAAUGUGUGUGUGCAUCUGUUGCGUGUGUGUGUGUGUGUGUGUUUAUAUGUAUGUAUUUUUGUACAUGUUGCGUGGGUGCUCACUGGCUGACCCACAGCAGUUCUUCACUGGCAAGCUUUAUGUCCUUGUGUACCAACUAAAGCUGCCAGCUGAAGAACUGUUGUGGUUAGCUCUUUCCUGCAUCCCACACAGAAGACCAACAGACGCCUUCGAGAAAUAUGUGUGUGUGUGCGCGUGUGUGUGUGAGUGUGAAUGUGUGUGCAUGUGCAUGUGUGUGUGGGUGUCCAGAUGCCAUGCAUGGGAUCAGUGAAUUCUCCAUCCAGAUGUUCCAUAUAGCAACCUGUCAAUGGUAGCAGUGUACAGCAUGUUUAGAGGUAAAUACAGCAUACAUGAAGCCUAUGUCUAAAACAGAAUAGCUAGCUAUCCAAGACAUCUGUUAUGAUGCAAUAGGUCUCAGAUAAGAACACAUGAACCCACUGCACUCAAAUGUAAUGUUCCCAUUAAGUAGGAAGUAUGAAAAAUGCUUACAAACUAUGAAGUAUGUUUACUAAGUAUGAAGUGGGCUUACUAAAUAUGAAGUAUGCUCACGAAGUAGGAAGUAUGCUUACUUGAAGUAUGCUUACUGAAGAUGGAUUUUACUGUAUGUGUGCUGUAUUUUGCUCUAUUUACAGUAUGUUGUAUUUAGCUUUAUCUAUGUUUACUCAACAGAGUUGUAUCUAUUCUUUCAUGUACAAUGCGAGCUCUUUUGUACCAAACAAUCAGCAUCAACUGCCCCCACAAA